GUGGGCCUACGGGAGGCAGCAGUAGGGAAUUUUCGUCAAUGGGCGCAAGCCUGAACGAGCAAUGCCGCGUGAACGAGGAAGGUCUUCGGAUCGUAAAGUUCUGUUGAAGGGGAAAAAGAGCGGAGAGAGGAAAUGAACUCCGAUUGAUAUUACCCUUCGAGGAAGUCACGGCUAACUACGUGCCAGCAGCCGCGGUAAUACGUAGGUGGCGAGCGUUAUCCGGAAUCACUGGGCGUAAAGAGCGCGUAGGCGGGAUAGCAAGUCAGAUGUUAAAUCCCAUGGCUUAAC
rnacentral:rRNA from 1 species